AAGUCGUAACAAGGUUUCCGUAGGUGAACCUGCGGAAGGAUCAUUAACACGUAUCCAAACGUUAAAACAACCCUGUGAAUAUUGAAUCUCAGUUCCCCCAGGGCGGACCACCGAUCGUUGACUGCGCUGCCCUUGCACAAUUCACCAAACACUUUCAGAUUGAUGGUUGCUUGGGGGCACCAGGAGUGGAUAGUUGUAAACGCUCGACCCAAUACAGGUGCUACUCGUGCGCCAUCCUCUAACUCAAAACCUUGUUAAGACAAUGAUUUACUAGAGGAAGCCCAUUUUUCUGCCUGUGGGGCCUAGUUCAUUCAGGUUGAACAUGAUGCAUGUCUACCGCGCCCGACGAAAGUCCGACGCACCCCUAACCGAACAACUGUUAACAAUGGAUAUCUUGGUUCUC
rnacentral:misc_RNA from 1 species